rnacentral:rRNA from 1 species
CCUACGGAGGCUGCAGUGGGGAAUAUUGGACAAUGGGGGGAACCCUGAUCCAGCGACGCCGCGUGAGUGAAGAAGUAUUUCGGUAUGUAAAGCUCUAUCAGCAGGGAAGAAAAUGACGGUACCUGACUAAGAAGCCCCGGCUACCUACGUGCCAGCAGCCGCGGUAAUACGUAGGGGGCAAGCGUUAUCCGGAUUUACUGGGUGUAAAGGGAGCGUAGACGGUGCAGCAAGUCUGAUGUGAAAGGUGGGGGCCCAACCCCGGGACUGCAUUGGAAACUGUUGAACUGGAGUACAGGAGAGGUAAGCGGAAUUCCUAGUGUAGCGGUGAAAUGCGUAGAUAUUAGGAGGAACACCAGUGGCGAAGGCGGCUUACUGGACUGUAACUGACGUUGAGGCUCGAAAGCGUGGGGAGCAAACAGGAUUAGAUACCCUAGUAGUC